AUUGAACGCUGGCGGCAGGCUUAACACAUGCAAGUCGAGCGAGCGGCGGACGGGUGAGUAAUGUCUGGGAAACUGCCUGAUGGAGGGGGAUAACUACUGGAAACGGUAGCUAAUACCGCAUACCAUCAGAUGUGCCCAGAUGGGAUUAGCUAGGAGGUGGGGUAAUGGCUCACCUAGGCGACGAUCCCUAGCUGGUCGGAGAGGAUGACCAGCCCCACUGGAACGGAGACACGGUCCAGACUCCUACGGGAGGCAGCAGUGGGGAAUAUUGGACAAUGGGGGAAAGCCUGAUGCAGCCAUGCCGCGUGUAUGAAGAAGGCCUUCGGGUUGUAAAGUACUUUCAGCGGGGAGGCGUUACCCGCAGAAGAAGCACCGGCUAACUCCGUGCCAGCAGCCGCGGUAAUUC
rnacentral:rRNA from 1 species